rnacentral:lncRNA from 1 species
AUAAUUUAAACUUUUUGAGUGUGUCUUUCCUCUGUGUGUAUGCAAUUAUUCUUUUUUUGUUUUUUUUUUUCAUUGGUUUUGGUGUGCUUACUUUGGCUUAAAGUAUUUGCUUGAAAAGAUUGGUUAGAUUUUACUUGAAUGUUAGAGCAAAACAUGGCUAUUAUCCGCACUAAUAUUGUUGGUGUGCUUCAAAAAAAUG